rnacentral:rRNA from 1 species
GACGAACGCUGGCGGCGUGCUUAACACAUGCAAGUCGAACGGAAAGGCCCUGCUUGUGUGGUGUGCUCGAGGGGCGAACGGGUGAGUAACGCGUGAGUAACCUGCCCUUGACUUUGGUAUAACUGCAGGAAACUGGGGCUAAUACCGGAUAGGAGCUCCUGCUGCAUGGUGGGGGUAGGAAAUUUUUGGCGGGUGGGGAUGGACUCGCGGCUUGUCAGCUUGUUGGUGGGGUAGUGGCUUACCAAGGCUUUGCCGGGUGGCCGGCCUGAGUGGGUGACCGGCCAAAUUGGGCCUGGGUUCCGGCCCAGCGCCCACCGGGAGGAAGCAGUGGGGAAUAUUGAACAUUGGGGGGAAGCCUGAUCAAGGAACGCCGGGUGCGGGAUGACGGCCUUCGGGUGGUAACCCGCUUUCGCAUGUGACGAAGCGUUUGUGACGGUAAUGGGUAAAGAAGCACCGGCUAACUACGUG